UUCCGGUUGAUCCUGCCGGACCUGACUGCUAUCGGAUUGAUACUAAGCCAUGCUAGUCUUUGUAGUAAUACAAGGCAUACGGCUCAGUAACGCGUAGUCAACCUACCCUAUGGACGGGGAUAAUCUCGGGAAACUGAGCAUAAUACCCGGCAGACCACUUAUCCUGGAAUGGUUAGUGGUUAAAAUGAUUCGUCGCCAUAGGAUGGGACUGCGGCCUAUCAGCUUGUUGGUGAGGUAAUGGCCCACCAAGGCGAUUACAGGUACGGGCUCUGAGAGGAGAUGCCCGGAGAUGGGUACUGAGACAAGGACCCAGGCCCUAUGGGGCGCAGCAGGCGAGAAAACUUUGCAAUGUGCGAAAGCACGACAAGGUUAAUCCGAGUGAUUUCUGCUAAAGGAAUCUUUUGUUAGUUCUAAAAAUACUAGUGAAUAAGGGGUGGGCAAGUUCUGGUGUCAGCCGCCGCGGUAAAACCAGCACCUCAAGUGGUCAGGAGGAUUAUUGGGCCUAAAGCAUCCGUAGCCUGUUCUAUAAGUUUGCGGUUAAAUCUAUACGCUCAACGUAUAGGCUGCCGUAAAUACUGUAGAACUAGGGAGUGGGAGAGGUAGACGGUACUCGAUAGGAAGGGGUAAAAUCCUUUGAUCUAUUGAUGACCACCUGUGGCGAAGGCGGUCUACCAGAACACGUUCGACGGUGAGGGAUGAAAGCUGGGGGAGCAAACCGGAUUAGAUACCCGGGUAGUCCCAGCUGUAAACGAUGCAGACUCGAUGAUGCAAUGGCAUAGAGCUAUUGCAGUAUCGCAGGGAAGCCGUUAAGCCUGCCGCCUGGGAAGUACGUACGCAAGUAUGAAACUUAAAGGAAUUGGCGGGGGAGCACCACAAGGGGUGAAGCCUGCGGUUCAAUUGGACUCAACGCCGGGA
rnacentral:rRNA from 1 species